UACGUAGGGGGCUAGCGUUGCUCGGAAUUACUGGGCGUAAAGGGCGCGUAGGCGGAUAGUUUAGUCAGAGGUGAAAGCCCAGGGCUCAACCUUGGAAUUGCCUUUGAUACUGGCUGUCUUGAGUUCGGGAGAGGUGAGUGGAAUGCCGAGUGUAGAGGUGAAAUUCGUAGAUAUUCGGCGGAACACCAGUGGCGAAGGCGACUCACUGGCCCGAUACUGACGCUGAGGCGCGAAAGCGUGGGGAGCAAACAGG
rnacentral:rRNA from 1 species